rnacentral:tRNA from 1 species
AGUAGAGUCAGCUAAAAAAGCUUCUGGGCCCAUACCCCCGACAUGUAGGUUUAAACCCUUCCUCUACUA